rnacentral:rRNA from 1 species
UACGUAGGGGGCAAGCGUUGUCCGGAUUUAUUGGGCGUAAAGAGCGUGUAGGCGGCCAGGUAGGUCAGCUGUGAAAACUCGAGGCUCAACCUCGAGAUGUCGGCUGAAACCAUCUGGCUAGAGUCCGGAAGAGGAGAAUGGAAUUCCCGGUGUAGCGGUGAAAUGCGCAGAUAUCGGGAAGAACACCCGUGGCGAAGGCGGCUCUCUGGGACGGUACUGACGCUGAGACGCGAAAGCGUGGGGAGCGAACAGG